GACGAACGCUGGCGGCGUGCUUAACACAUGCAAGUCGAACGGAAAGGCCCUGCUUUUGUGGGGUGCUCGAGUGGCGAACGCGUGAGUAACACGCGUGUAUCCUGCCCUUGACUUUGGGAUAACUCCAGGAAACUGGGGCUAUUACCGGAUAGGAGCUCCUGCUCCAUGGUGGUGGUUGGAAAGUUUCGGCGGUUGGGGAUGGACUCGCGGCUUAUCAGCUAGUUUGUGGGGUAGUGGCUGACCAAGGCUUUGACGGGUAGCCGGCCUGGGAGGGGUGACGGCCACAAGGGGACUGAGAGACGGACCAGAAGCCUACGGGAGGCAGCAGGGGGGAAUAUUGCAGAAUGGGCGGAAGCCUGAUGCAGCGACGCCGCGUGCGGGAUGACGGCCUUCGGGUUGUAAACCGCUUUCGCAUGUGACGAAGCGUGAGUGACGGUAAUGGGUAAAGAAGCACCGGCUAACUACGUG
rnacentral:rRNA from 1 species